rnacentral:rRNA from 1 species
UGAAUACGAGAUGCUAAGGCGUCGAAGUAGUGUAUGUCAUACUUCCAAGAAAAGCUUGCACUGUCAUAAAUAAAAAUGCCUGUACCAUAACCGACACAGGUGGGUAAGUAGAGUAUACUAAGGGGCGCGAGAUAACUCUCUCUAAGGAACUCGGCAAAAUAACUCCGUAACUUCGGGAGAAGGAGUGCCUUAUUCUUAAGGUUGCAAUAACAAGAUCCAAGCAACUGUUUAUCAAAAACACAGGUCUCCGCUAAGUCGUAAGACGAUGUAUGGGGGCUGACGCCUGCCCAGUGCCAGAAGGUUAAAGAAGUUGGUUAGCAAUUGCGAAGCUGGUAACUGAAGCCCUGGUGAACGGCGGCCGUAACAAUAACGGUCCUAAGGUAGCGAAAUUCCUUGUCGGGUAAGUUCCGACCCGCACGAAAGGCGUAAUGAUUUGGAUGCUGUCUCGGAGAGGGGCUCGGUGAAAUAGACUUGUCUGUGAAGAUGCGGACUACCUGCACCAGGACAGAAAGACCCUAUGAAGCUUUACUGUAACUUGAAAUUGAAAUUGGACUUUAUUUGCGCAGUAUAGGUGGGAGGCGUUGAUUAUAAUCUUGCGGGAUUAUUGGAGCCAUCAGUGAGAUACCACUCUUGUAAUGUUAGAUUUCUAACUUUGAAUCAUUAUCUGGUCAAAGGACAAUUUCAGGCGGGCAGUUUGACUGGGGCGGUCGCCUCCUAAAUGGUAACGGAGGCGUACAAAGGUUUCCUCUGAACGGUUAGAAAUCGUAUCUAGAGUGUAAAGGCAUAAGGAAGCUUGACUGUGAGACCUACAAGUCGAGCAGGGACGAAAGUCGGUCUUAGUGAUCUGACGGUACUGAGUGGAAAGGCCGUCACUCAACGGAUAAAAGUUACUCUAAGGAUAACAGGCUGAUCUCCCCCAAGAGUUCACAUCGACGGGGAGGUUUGGCACCUCGAUGUCGGCUCAUCGCAUCCUGGGGCGGUAGUACGUCCCAAGGGUUGGGCUGUUCGCCCAUGAAAGCGGUACGCGAGCUGGGUUCAGAACGUCGUGAGACAGUUCGGUCCAUAUCCGGUGUAGGCGUUAGAAUAUUGAGAGGAGCCUUCUUUAGUACGAGAGGACCGAGAAGGACAUACCUCUGGUGUACCAGUUAUCGUGCCAACGGUAAACGCUGGGUAGCUAUGUAUGGAGUGGAUAACCGCUGAAAGCAUCUAAGUGGGAAGCCCACCUCAAGAUAAG